GGGGGUGAACUGGCUUCGACUUUGAAGCGAGCCUCUCAGUAGCGAGCUGAGGGUCCUAGGGCCUCAUUAAAAACGUAGGAAAAAAAAGAUAACUGCCAAACCUAAAUUGGCCGUAGCAGCUUAAUUGUUGCUCGUCGACUAUCGGGGCUCCCACCUCGGAUAGUAUCGGCGUCGAAAUGUGGGAUGCUAAGUUAGAUUACCGGCUAGCUUUCAAGAUUUAAGGUAAAAACUAUUGAGAAUUUGUUUCUGGUGACUCUCUCAAUAGUAUUUCACCAGAUGCGCUCGGAGAAGCUGUUGGGUAGCUUAAAAGGACCGGGGUUCGACUCCCCGCACCUCCACCA
rnacentral:tmRNA from 10 species